rnacentral:rRNA from 1 species
GUUGUUCGGAAUUACUGGGCGUAAAGGGCUCGUAGGCGGCCAACUAAGUCAGACGUGAAAUCCCCAGGCUCAACCUGGGAACUGCGUCUGAUACUGGAUGGCUUGAAUCCGGGAGAGGGAUGCAGAAUUCCAGGUGUAGCGGUGAAAUGCGUAGAUAUCUGGAGGAAUACCGGUGGCGAAGGCGGCAUCCUGGACCGGCAUUGACGCUGAGGAGCGAAAGCCAGGGGAGCAAACGGG